UACGUAGGUGGCAAGCGUUGUCCGGAUUUACUGGGCGUAAAGAGCGCGCAGGCGGUCGUUCAAGUCGCGUGUGAAAGCCCCCGGCUCAACUGGGGAGGGUCACGCGAUACUGAUCGACUCGAAGGCAGGAGAGGGUAGUGGAAUUCCCGGUGUAGUGGUGAAAUGCGUAGAUAUCGGGAGGAACACCAGUGGCGAAGGCGGCACCCUGGACCGGCAUUGACGCUGAGGAGCGAAAGCCUGGGGAGCAAACGGG
rnacentral:rRNA from 1 species